CGUCAAGUCAUCAUGGCCCUUAUGUCCAGGGCUACACACGUGCUACAAUGGGCGGCACAGAGGGAAGCCAGGCCGCGAGGCCGAGCGGAUCCCGAAAGCCCCCCCCCAGUUCGGAUAGGAGUCUGCAACCCGACUCCUUGAAGCCGGAAUCGCUAGUAAUCGCGGAUCAGCAUGCCGCGGUGAAUACGUUCCCGGGCCUU
rnacentral:rRNA from 1 species